rnacentral:rRNA from 1 species
GCUAACCACGUGCCAGCAGCCGCGGUAACACGUGGGUGGCGAGCGUUAUUCGGAUUUACUGGGCGUAAAGGGUGCGUAGGCGGCUUUGUAAGUCAGCGGUGAAAUUUUGCAGCUUAACUGUAAAAGCGCCGUUGAUACUGUGAAGCUAGGAUUUGGUUGCUGUGGGCGGAAUGUGUGGUGUAGCGGUGAAAUGCAUAGAGAUCACACAGAAUAUCGAUUGCGAAGGCAGCUCACAAAGCCAAUAUUGACGCUGAGGCACGAAAGUGUGGGGAUCAAACAGGAUUAGAUACCCCAGUAGUC